rnacentral:rRNA from 1 species
CCUACGGGAGGCAGCAGUGAGGAAUAUUGGUCAAUGGACGAGAGUCUGAACCAGCCAAGUAGCGUGAAGGAUGACUGCCCUAUGGUUUGUAAACUUCUUUUAUAUGGGAAUAAAAUUUCCACUGGGGGGAGUUUUGUUUGUACAUUAUAAUUAAGGACCGCUAAAUUCCUGGCAACAGCCGCGGGUAUACGGAGGAUUCGAGGGUUUACCGGAUUUUUUGGGUUUAAAGGGAGCGGAGGUGGGUUGUUAAGUCAGGUGGGAAAGUUUGCGGCUCAAACGUAAAAUUGCAGUUGAAACUGGCAGUCUUGAGUAGAGUAGAGGUGGGCGGAAUUCGUGGUGUAGCGGUGAAAUGCUUAGAUAUCACGAAGAACUCCGAUUGCGAAGGCAGCUCACUGGACUGCAACUGACACUGAGGCUCGAAAGUGUGGGUAUCAAACAGGAUUAGAUACCCGGGUAGUC